rnacentral:rRNA from 1 species
UCGAACGGAAAGGCCCUGCUUUUGUGGGGUGCCCGAGUGGCGAACGGGUGAGUAACACGUGAGUAACCUGCCCUUGACUUUGGGAUAACUUCAGGAAACUGGGGCUAAUACCGGAUAGGAGCUCCUGCUGCAUGGUGGGGGUUGGAAAGUUUCGGCGGUUGGGGAUGGACUCGCGGCUUAUCAGCUUGUUGGUGGGGUAGUGGCUUACCAAGGCUUUGACGGGUAGCCGGCCUGAGAGGGUGACCGGCCACAUUGGGACUGAGAUACGGCCCAGACUCCUACGGGAGGCAGCAGUGGGGAAUAUUGCACAAUGGGCGGAAGCCUGAUGCAGCANCGCCGCGUGCGGGAUGACGGCCUUCGGGUUGUAAACCGCUUUCGCCUGUGACGAAGCGUGAGUGACGGUAAUGGGUAAAGAAGCACCGGCUAACUACGUGCCAGCAGCCGCGGUGAUACGUA